GGGGAAUAUUGGACAAUGGGGGCAACCCUGAUCCAGCAAUGCCGCGUGUGUGAAGAAGGUCUUCGGAUCGUAAAGCACUUUCGACAGGGACGAUGAUGACGGUACCUGUAGAAGAAGCCCCGGCUAACUUCGUGCCAGCAGCCGCGGUAAUACGAAGGGGGCUAGCGUUGCUCGGAAUUACUGGGCGUAAAGGGCGCGUAGGCGGCUUGGCCAGUCAGGCGUGAAAUUCCUGGGCUUAACCUGGGGACUGCGCUUGAUACUGCCAGGCUUGAGGCCGAGAGAGGGUGGUGGAAUUCCCAGUGUAGAGGUGAAAUUCGUAGAUAUUGGGAAGAACACCGGUGGCGAAGGCGACCACCUGGCUCGGUACUGACGCUGAGGCGCGACAGCGUGGGGAGCAAAC
rnacentral:rRNA from 1 species